rnacentral:rRNA from 1 species
GAUGAACGCUGGCGGCGUGCCUCAAACAUGCAAGUCGAGCGAGGCUAUGAAUUACCGCAAGGUAAGGCAUAGCCUAGCGGCGAACGGGUGAGUAACACGUGGGUAACCUACCUGGAAGACAGGGAUAACGAUUCGAAAGGGUCGCUAAUACCUGAUAAUAUCCAUCUGCCGGAUGGCGGAGGGAAGAAAGGGGAAACCCGCUUUCAGAUGGGCCCGCGUCCCAUCAGCUAGUUGGUAAGGUAAAGGCUUACCAAGGCGACGACGGGUAGCCGGUCUGAGAGGAUGUACGGCCACACUGGGACUGAGAUACGGCCCAGACUCCUACGGGGGGCAGCAGUAGGGAAUUUUCGGCAAUGGGCGAAAGCCUGACCGAGCGACGCCGCGUGAGGGACGAAGGCCUUCGGGUUGUAACCUCUGUCUGGGGGAUGAGAACGGACGGUACCCCGGAGGAAGCCCGGCUAACUACGUG